rnacentral:rRNA from 1 species
AUUGAACGCUGGCGGCAUGCCUUACACAUGCAAGUCGAACGGCAGCACGGGAGCAAUCCUGGUGGCGAGUGGCGAACGGGUGAGUAAUAUAUCGGAACGUGCCCAGUAGUGGGGGAUAACUGCUCGAAAGAGCAGCUAAUACCGCAUACGACCUGAGGGUGAAAGGGGGGGAUCGCAAGACCUCUCGCUAUUGGAGCGGCCGAUAUCAGAUUAGCUAGUUGGUGGGGUAAAGGCCUACCAAGGCAACGAUCUGUAGUUGGUCUGAGAGGACGACCAGCCACACUGGGACUGAGACACGGCCCAGACUCCUACGGGAGGCAGCAGUGGGGAAUUUUGGACAAUGGACGCAAGUCUGAUCCAGCCAUGCCGCGUGCGGGAAGAAGGCCUUCGGGUUGUAAACCGCUUUUGUCAGGGAAGAAACGAGUUUCUCUAAUACAGAGACUUAAUGACGGUACCUGAAGAAUAAGCACCGGCUAACUACGUGCCAGCAGCCGCCGUAACAC